AACGAACGCUGGCGGCAUGCCUAACACAUGCCAGUCGAACGAGACCUUCGGGUCUAGUGGCACACGGGUGCGUAACGCGUGGGAACCUGCCCUUAGGUUCGGAAUAACUCCCCGAAAGGGGUGCUAAUACCGGAUAAUGUCUUCGGACCAAAGAUUUAUCGCCUUUGGAUGGGCCCGCGUUGGAUUAGCUAGUUGGUAGGGUAAAAGCCUACCAAGGCGACGAUCCAUAGCUGGUCUGAGAGGAUGAUCAGCCACACUGGGACUGAGACACGGCCCAGACUCCUACGGGAGGCAGCAGUGGGGAAUAUUGGACAAUGGGCGAAAGCCUGAUCCAGCAAUGCCGCGUGAGUGAUGAAGGCCUUAGGGUUGUAAAGCUCUUUUACCCGGGAUGAUAAUGACAGUACCGGGAGAAUAAGCUCCGGCUAACUCCGUG
rnacentral:rRNA from 1 species